GAUGAACGCUAGCGAUAGGCUUAACACAUGCAAGUCGAGGGGCAGCAUGGUCUUAGCUUGCUAAGACUGAUGGCGACCGGCGCACGGGUGCGUAACGCGUAUGCAACUUGCCUCACAGAGGGGGAUAACCCGUCGAAAGACGGACUAAUACCGCGUACACUCCAUCUUGGGCAUCCAAGGUAGAGGAAAUGAAAUUCGCUGUGAGAUAGGCAUGCGUCCCAUUAGCUAGUUGGUGAGGUAACGGCUCACCAAGGCGACGAUGGGUAGGGGAACUGAGAGGUUGAACCCCCACACUGGUACUGAGACACGGACCAGACUCCUACGGGAGGCAGCAGUGAGGAAUAUUGGUCAAUGGGCGAGAGCCUGAACCAGCCAAGUCGCGUGAAGGAUGACUGUCUUAUGGAUUGUAAACUUCUUUUAUACGGGAAUAACAAGAGUCACGUGUGACUCCCUGCAUGUACCGGAUGAAUAAGCAUCGGCUAACUCCGUG
rnacentral:rRNA from 1 species